AGAAUCAACGCUGGCGGCGUGCCUAACACAUGCAAGUCGCACGAGAAAGGGACUUCGGUCCUAAGUACAGUGGCGCACGGGUGAGUAACACGUGAAUUAUCUACCUCCGAGUGGGGAAUAACUGAGAGAAAUCUCAGAUAAUACCGCAUAACACUUACGAGUCAAAGCAGCAAUGCGCUUGGAGAGGAGUUCGCGGCAGAUUAGUUAGUUGGCGGGGUAAUGGCCCACCAAGACGAUGAUCUGUAUCCGGCCUGAGAGGGCGCACGGACACACUGGAACUGAAACACGGUCCAGACUCCUACGGGAGGCAGCAGUGGGGAAUUUUGCGCAAUGGGGGAAACCCUGACGCAGCAACGCCGCGUGGAGGAUGAAAUAUCUUGGUAUGUAAACUCCUUUCGAUGGGGAAGAUAAUGACGGUACCAUAGAAGAAGCCCCGGCUAACUUCGUGCCAGCAGCCGC
rnacentral:rRNA from 1 species